rnacentral:rRNA from 1 species
UACGGGGGGGGCAAGCGUUGUUCGGAAUUACUGGGCGUAAAGGGUUUGUAGGUGGCUUGCUAAGUCAGACGUGAAAUCCCUCAGCUUAACUGGGGAACUGCGUCUGAGACUGGCAGGCUUGAGUGCAGGAGAGGAACGCGGAAUUCCAGGUGUAGCGGUGAAAUGCGUAGAUAUCUGGAGGAACACCGGUGGCGAAGGCGGCGUUCUGGACUGCAACUGACACUGAAAGACGAAAGCGUGGGGAGCAAACAGG